UCUGUUCUUUAAUGAGUAGUCAUAAUAUGAGAAGCCCAAGCCACAUGGGGAGACCACAUGGAGAACUAACUUGCCUCUGUCAAUCCCAUAUGAUCUCCCUGCCAAGUGCCAGCAUCAAAUGCCAACCAUCCGCUCUACAGUAAGGUAAAUAAGUCAUUUAGUCAGGAACUCUGCACAUUUACCUCUGCAUUUAUCAAAUAUUUGUUGAAGGAAAUAAUAAAAGAAGUGAGGAGGAAGAAGAGGUUUCCUGGGUUUUUUUAAUGUGUGAGAUUGGAAGAAAUCUUGUGAGUAAUCAUGAAUUUUAGGAAUCCCAGAAGGGAGCAAAGAAGAUUCUGAAAAAAAGAGAAAUACUUCUCUGAGUUGGAAAUUGGUUAAAUUUAGUGAUGUUUGAGCCUCAGCUUACAUUGGAAAUCACUAACUACUUUUAAAUUACUUUUGGUUUUGGACCCUGUUUCUUGCUCUGGGACUACACAAAAGGACUGAGCCAAGACAGGAGCAGGAAUUUGGCUUGCCAUUUAUUUAAUUUAUAUUUUAUUGUCUGCUAAAAAUUGAAUGCGUUUCAGAGCAAGAUAGAAGAGGAGUACAUCUCAAAUGCUUUUGAAGUUACAUUUCCAAAGUGAGGUCCCAGCUGGAAGUAUAAAUGGUUCUCCAAUUUUGCAGAUGGAAUUUUAUCCAAUAUUCAGAUGUAUAAUCUGCUUCAAGUAUGUACACAGGGGAAGUAAUAAGAGUACUGUGAAUUCUCAACUGACCAUUUUCUGACACAUUAAAGAAAUAGCAAAGCACUUAUCUCUGAAGUCUCACUUUUUAAAUAUGUUACAAUGAAUUGUGAUCCUGUUUUAUGUAUCUGACUGACAGCACUGGGAAUUAAGUUCCUCAGCCAAUGAAAUAAUAAACCCAAUGCCACGAUAAAACCUACGGUAGAGACUGAUAAGGACUCCAGAUCCAGGCUGCUAAUACUCUUCAAAGUCAUUCAGCUGUGGCUACUACAUGAUGUCUGAGUGUUUCCACAAGGCACUGUUUUGGACAUUGGGAACAUCGAAGUAGAGUGAGCAUCAUCAUGAAUGGAAACACUUUCUCUGAAAAAAGACAUAAAACAAUUGAAAGUCAGCAGUGUCUUUCUUGCAAAAUAUUAUGAAGAUCAGGACAAUUAGAAUUAGGUAUACUCCAAUUCCAUUUUAGAAUUUGCAAUAGAGAAGGUGCUUUGGGAAUGGAAUUAAAUGAGCUGAUUCAUGUAAAGGGAUUUAACUGGGUGCCGGACCUGUCAUAAACUCUUAACGUGAACAGGAGAGUUACUGUAAAAACUGAGACAACAAAACAGCCGGAGGCAUGAAAAGAAAAAGAAUCCCGCAUGAAUAGCUUGCUAUAUGUAAUUUGGUUAGGAACAAUUCACAGGUUUUGACAGCUUUAUUAGAGUUCCAUUUUAGUAAGAUUCAGGUGAAAGUGAGGUCAUCACUUUAAAACAAAAAUCCUGAGAACAUACCCAGAUGGACUCACAUAAAUGAUGUAUACUAAUGUCGUCAAGUAAAUAUUUUAAAGAGUUAAUUGCUUUCUUUAUUAAAAACUGGAUUUAAAUACUCCAUUAUUUCAUAAGAAUAAAACAACUACAACACCGCCACAACAUAAAAAGUGUUUACCUUAAUGUAUUAUGAACACCAGCAGUGAGUUCCAGUAAUAUCUUGCACUUCUGAAGAUGUGUAAGUAUACUAAGGAACAUGCUUAACUUAGAACUCACUAAUGGAAGUUACAGAGAUUUAUUCAGAUCCAUGUUAGCAUGCUUGAUACCCUUAAGCACACUAACAAUAUACAGCAUCUGCUUUCAGGGAUGUUUUUACCUCUUGUACUAGUUUCAGAAAGCCCAUGUCUGAAUAAUUCCUAAGUAAUGGUUUUUUAGCUUACUCUAUAAUUUUGAUU
rnacentral:lncRNA from 1 species